AUUGACUUGGCCAUUGCAUAACAUUCCACUUCUUUCCCUUAAAAAUCUCUUUGGUUGCUGUUGCAGUAUGCUUCGGGUCUUUGUCCAUCUGCAUUGUGAAGCGCCGUCCAAUGAGUUCUGAAGCAUUUGGCUGAAUAUGAGCAGAUAAUAUUGCCCGAAACACUUCAGAAUUCAUCCUGUUGCUUUUGUCAGCAGUCACAUCAUCAAUAAAUACAAG
rnacentral:lncRNA from 1 species